UUGCUGGAAUUUGUCAUUCCGUCAGCAUCUUCUUCCUCCCGGGUUCUGCGAGCUUCAUCAGCUCGCCUUCAUUCUCACCCGGCUCAUCUCGUUCCACGUUCUCUCGGUCCUUGCGGCCAUUCUUGUGGCCCAGAGUUUUGUCUCCCCGUUGUGUCCCCUCGUCUGUUGUCUUGUGUGUCACGGGUGUCUGGGUGUAGUUGUCCCGGAGCUGCUCUGUCCUGCUGCCCAGCCUGGGUGUAGGUGUAAAAGGCCAAGUCUCAGGCCCCUGUAAUUUGAAAUUUGUGAUGUAGGGUGUCGUUGGAGUCUAGCGGGUGUUCCUAGAUGGACACAAGAUGUCAGGAGCUGUGAAGUUACCCUGCAGCACUUUGACUUUUGUCUUAGCUUUCUUUCAGAUGCAGACGGAUGAAAUCGGUGGCAGAGCGCCCCAUCCAGGGUAAGGGGGUUCCCGCGAGAAGGAAGUGAAGCCGGCUAGCAGCGGUCAAGGCGAAGUGGGCAAGGUGGUCCGGUCACGUUUCGCCGAGAUCCCCUCCCCAACCAACCGGCCGGCACAGCUGUUUCACCGCUCCCGUGAGCCCUGCGGAAGCGUUACAGGACUGUGUGAUGAAGCCUUGGCCUUUUCCACGUAAAGGGGUCGUGUGGGUGGCCUUCAGGAACGGGCCGAGGGGUUGCCGCGCGCCCUGCGACGACGGCGUCCGGCUCCCGGUGCGGCCGAAGCGUGCGGCCUCAGGACGUGGCCGUUCACAGGAGACCCUGACCGAGAGACGGCAGCCUGGCGAUGGCAGGAACUUCCCGGAUGGCGAGGCAGCCUUCCUUGGCGCUCCAUGUGGAUCCUCCCCGCCGGGCAUCCGAGAGCUGAGUCGGAGGCUGCGAAUUGCAGAGGGGCUGAAAUCGGGGUGCCGGGUCGGGACUCUGGACCUGGGGUUAUGGAGUCAGCUUUGGGGAUGGGGAGGUCCAGGCUGUGGCCCCUUAGGCCACGUGAAGGGAGAGCCUCACUUUUGUUCACAGUGCUGAGGUGUGCAGGACAGAGCAGUCCCGGGGCGUGUUGUAUCACUUGUCCGUCGUGCCUUCUGUGUCUUUUGUGCCUCUCGUGUUGUAUGUGCCUCGCCUUAUCUCUUCUGGGGGCUUACCAGAAACCCCGGCAUCACUCCUCGCGUCUCUGAUCUCUGGGCUCCUCAGCCCGACACCAUCGAAGCUUUGCCUCGGGAGCCCUCAGAGGCCUUGGAAUCGCGUCUCUCUUUUAAAAGCAUCCGAUCGGAUGUCUUUUAGAGGUCUUGUUCCGAGCUGUGUCGACAGCCGUGCGCCGCGAGGAUCCAUUGCUGCGGCUUAGGUCUUGAAGAAGCGCAGAGAUAGGUAGGGGGCUGUGGCCCUCAGAUUCUCGGGCAUCCGUCUUGGCAGUUGCUGGAGUUUGUCAUUCCAUCAGCAUCUUCUUCCUCCCGGGUUCUGCGAGCUUCAUCAGCUCGCCUUCAUUCUCACCCGGCUCAUCUCGUUCUGCGUUCUCUCGGUCCUUGUGGCCGUUCUUGUGGCCCAGAGUUUUGUCUCCCCGUUGUGUCCCCUCGUCUGUUGUCUUGUGUGUCACGGGUGUCUGGGUGUAGUUGUCCCGGAGCUGCUCUGUCCUGCUGCCCAGCCUGGGUGUAGGUGUAAAAGGCCGAGUCCCAGGCCCCUGUAAUUUGAAAUUUGUCAUGUAGGGUGUAGUUGGAGUCUAGAGGGUAUUCCUAGAUCCUCACAAGAUGUCUGGAGCUGUGAAGUUAUCCUGCAGCAUUUUGACUUUUGUUUCAGCUUUCUAAGCAUUGCAUUAUUUGCUGCCCAAUGUGGGGUUCAAAAGAGUAAGAAAAACCUAUACUGAUUACGUUAUAUUGGUACUGUCUGUGUGUUGGGAUAAAGGACUUUGUAAUGGUGUUCCUUAAGUUCACGUCUCUCAGGGUUGAGCCCAUCAUGUAGUUGUAGUCUCUGAGCUUUUUUUCAAGUUUUAAUGCCUUUCUUGUCCCUAAGUUUAUUUUUUUAUCCAAAAAUAACUCAAAUAUUGUCCCUAAUACAUAACUUUUACCAAGUAAAAGGGCACAGGUUAAAAUAGCUGUUAUGCUAAGCUCAGUAAUAAUGAUUGAUAAAAACUUUAUAAAAGUACUGAAGUUUGUACCAAGUAGCUUUAGUUUUUAGUUUCUUUGUCCUUCCCUACAUCCCAAUCCCAGUAACAUGUUUUAGAAGUGUAUUAGUAAUUAUACCCAGUUUAUUAGAAGAGCAGCAACAACCCCCACUACACUCUUUUUACUAAUAAUUCAUACCACAUCAUAAAAGUAAAACAAAACACAGAAAAAUAUAUUAAACUUAACACAACCCAAUCUACUUAAAAAAACUUAACAACUUACUAAACUCAAAACCAUUCAAUGAGCCCUAAACAUUACUAAAAAAAACCUAACCCAAUUGCUACCUUCUAAUUCAUAAAUAA